GUUGAACGCUGGCGGCAGGCCUAACACAUGCAAGUCGAACGGUAACAGGAAGCAGCUUGCUGCUUCGCUGACGAGUGGCGGACGGGUGAGUAAUGUCUGGGAAACUGCCUGAUGGAGGGGGAUAACUACUGGAAACGGUAGCUAAUACCGCAUAACGUCGCAAGACCAAAGAGGGGGACCUUCGGGCCUCUUGCCAUCGGAUGUGCCCAGAUGGGAUUAGCUAGUAGGUGGGGUAACGGCUCACCUAGGCGACGAUCCCUAGCUGGUCUGAGAGGAUGACCAGCCACACUGGAACUGAGACACGGUCCAGACUCCUACGGGAGGCAGCAGUGGGGAAUAUUGCACAAUGGGCGCAAGCCUGAUGCAGCCAUGCCGCGUGUAUGAAGAAGGCCUUCGGGUUGUAUAGUACUUUCAGCGGGGAGGAAGGCGAUAAGGUUAAUAACCUUGUCGAUUGACGUUACCCGCAGAAGAAGCACCGGCUAACUCCGUGCCAGCCGCCGCAGUAA
rnacentral:rRNA from 1 species